rnacentral:lncRNA from 1 species
ACAUCUUAGGCCGAUUAUUGGGGUUAGAUUGAGUGCACUGUAGAGCCACUUCAACUGUUUUCUCUAGCUCCUCUGUGUUAAAACAUCCCUUUAGAUCCCUAUCCACAAGCAUUUUCACUUUCUUUUCCUCAAAUAAAUUCCGGACCUGCAAAUUGGACGGGUAGUUGAGUGAUUAGUAUUAAAACAUCCUUUUAGAUCCCUAUCCACAAGCAUUUCCACUUUCUUUUCCUCGAAUAAAUUCCGGACCUGCAAAUUCGCCAGGUGGUCAGAGUGAGUGAUUAGUAAAUAUGACGGUCAAAAACCCGAAUAAGGUUUUCCAUAAGCCCAACAGAUCA